rnacentral:lncRNA from 1 species
AUGAGAUGAUUUAACUAGAGAUCAUGAAAUACUGCUUAAGCAGAAGAGGUGAUUUGAGGUUAUGCAAGCAACCUUGAUUUUUUUUUUUCCUGUUUUCUAACUUGUGAAACUUUUUCCUUACAAUUUUAUAAACAUUACUUUAAUGUAAUUUUUGCCUAAUAUAUAUAUGUUAUAGCUAAAUCUAUCUAUUUAAUAAGCAGUUUGAAAUAAUAUAUGUAGAUUCUUCUUUAUAUUCUUUUCAGUAAGUCAGUAGAGUUAAUUAACUUGAUAUGGAUCUUUUCCAGUUUGUAAGCAUUUACCAAAGAAUGGAUUUAGCAGUAUAUUUAUAUGGAAAUGCAGCCAUUCCGUGUGCAACUUUGUAGUUGGGAGCCCAUUUACAGUAAUGGCUUCAGCUAGUCCUAAUGAUCAGCUGGAAACAGCUGAGGUAAUAAUGUUUUCCAGAAAGAGAUGUGUUGGGGCUCUGUUCAGCCUGUAGUGGGGUAGUCCUUUUAAUACAGCAGAAUUGUGGUCUCGUAACGUUGUCUAAGGAUGUGGCAAACCACAGGAAUUCUCACUUGCAUGGGCAAAAUAAGAAGUCAGGGAGAUAUAAUAGCAGUAUGUUGAGAAUGCUCGAUUUAGCCAAA